GGCCUAAGUUCCUUGGAACAGGACGUCAUAGAGGGUGAGAAUCCCGUAUGCGGCCAGGUGCCUACGCUCAUGUGAAGCUCCUUCGACGAGUCGAGUUGUUUGGGAAUGCAGCUCAAAAUGGGUGGUAAAUUUCAUCUAAAGCUAAAUAUUGGCCAGAGACCGAUAGCGCACAAGUAGAGUGAUCGAAAGAUGAAAAGCACUUUGGAAAGAGAGUUAAACAGUACGUGAAAUUGUUGAAAGGGAAGCGCUUGCAACCAGACUUGCGCGCGGCCGAUCAUCCGGUGUUCUCACCGGUGCACUCGGCCGUGCUCAGGCCAGCAUCGGUUUUGGCGGCUGGAUAAAGGCCCUAGGAAUGUGGCUCCUCUCGGGGAGUGUUAUAGCCUAGGGUGCAAUGCAGCCUGCUGGGACCGAGGACCGCGCUUCGGCUAGGAUGCUGGCGUAAUGGUUGUAAGCGGCCCGUCUUGAAACACGGACCAAGGAGUCUAACAUCUAUGCGAGUGUUUGGGUGUCAAACCCAUACGCGUAAUGAAAGUGAACGGAGGUGAGAACCCUUAAGGGUGCAUCAUCGACCGAUCCUGAUGUCUUCGGAAGGAUUUGAGUAAGAGCAUAGCUGUUGGGACCCGAAAGAUGGUGAACUAUGCCUGAAUAGGGUGAAGCCAGAGGAAACUCUGGUGGAGGCUCGCAGCGGUUCUGACGUGCAAAUCGAUCGUCAAAUUUGGGUAUAGGGGCGAAAGACUAAUCGAACCAUUGACCUGUAGGAACACUACUAGGUGGUUAAGAGGCGGCUAAAAGUGCCGUCUAGUCCCGACGCCGGGGCGACACUGUCAAAUUGCGGGAACAUCCUUAGAGCCUAGACUACCGCAGCCUUCCCGAAAGGGGGGUGCGCACCAGGGUAACGACCUCGGGUAUGGUAAUAACGUCUAGGAUUGGACAAUCCGCAGCCAAGCCCUACGGACCUCGGUCUAUGGGUGCAGUUCAUCGACUAGAUGGCAGUGGGUGGCAGCAAUGCCGCUUAAGAUAUAGUCAGACCCCCGGGAGACCGGGCGGCAGAACGAAGACCGUGGGGGGCGUCCUCUCUGAGAAGCCCCUGCGGUCCCGAAGUCUGCUGGUGGCGUCGCAGCUUGCUGC
rnacentral:rRNA from 1 species